rnacentral:rRNA from 1 species
AAUCAACGCUGGCGGCGUGCCUCAGACAUGCAAGUCGAACGAUUAAAGCUCUCUUCGGAGAGUGCAUAGAGUGGCGCACGGGUGAGUAACACGUAAGUAAUCUACCUUCGAGUGGGGAAUAACGUCCGGAAACGGACGCUAAUACCGCAUAAUGCAGCGGCAUCGCAAGAUGACAGUUGUUAAAGGAGCAAUCCGCUUGAAGAGGAGCUUGCGGCAGAUUAGCUUGUUGGUAAGGUAACGGCUUACCAAGGCUACGAUCUGUAUCCGGUCUAAGAGGACGGUCGGACACACUGACACUGAAUAACGGGUCAGACUCCUACGGGAGGCAGCAGUCGGGAAUUUUGGGCAAUGGGGGAAACCCUGACCCAGCAACGCCGCGUGAAGGAUGAAGUAUUUCGGUAUGUAAACUUCGAAAGAAUAGGAAGAAUAAAUGACGGUACUAUUUAUAAGGUCCGGCUAACUACGUGCCAGCAGCCGCCGU